CGCGUUCGCUUCGUAGGUGACCUGCGGAGGAUCAUUAACGAGUUAGGGUCUCUCUGGCCCGACCUCCCAACCCUUUGUCUACUUGACCAUCGUUGCUUCGGCGAGCCCGUCCUCACGGACCGCCGGAGGGAUCUUUACUGGCCCUCUGGUCCGCGCUCGUCGGUAGCCCAACCUUUAAAAUCUUUAACUAAACGUGCCUUAAUCUAAGUACAAUUAUUAAAUAAAAGCAAAACUUUCAACAACGGAUCUCUUGGUUCUGGCAUCGAUGAAGAACGCAGCGAAAUGCGAUAAGUAAUGCGAAUUGCAGAAUUCCAGUGAGUCAUCGAAUCUUUGAACGCACAUUGCGCCCUUUGGUAUUCCGAAGGGCAUGCCUGUUCGAGCGUCAUUAUCACCCCUCAAGCCCUCGGCUUGGUGUUGGACGGUUUGGUGGAGGCCCCCUCGGGGGCUCCUGCCCCUCCCAAAGACAAUGACGGCGGCCUCGUUGGACCCCCGGUACACUGAGUUCUUCACGGGACACGUAUCGGACACAUGGGUUUACGGGACACGGUCUGCCUCCCCUCAGGGAGAAUCUUUCUAAGGUUGACCUCGGAUCAGGUAGGGAUACCCGCUGAACUUAAGCAUUUGUUCUUUCCCCCCGGCUCCGCUGCGGGAUGAAAAUGGUCUUCUUGGGGCUAUCUGGGUGUGU
rnacentral:rRNA from 1 species